ensembl:rRNA 5S_rRNA 5S ribosomal RNA
GCUUACGGCCAUACCAGCCUGAGAACGCCCGAUCUCGUCCGAUCUCGGAAGCUAAGCAGGGUCGGGCCUGGUUAGUACUUGGAUGGGAGACCGCCUGGGAAUACCAGGUGCUGUAAGCU